UCCGAGUUGACCCCGGCGGUCUCCCGUGGGUCCCCAACCCUCCGAAGAGGUUGCUGGCAACACGGGACAAGGGUUGCGCUCGUUGCGGGACUUAACCCAACAUCUCACGACACGAGCUGACGACAGCCAUGCACCACCUGUACACCGACCACAAGGGGGCCCCUGUCUCCAGAGGUUUCCGGUGUAUGUCAAGCCUUGGUAAGGUUCUUCGCGUUGCGUCGAAUUAAGCCACAUGCUCCGCCGCUUGUGCGGGCCCCCGUCAAUUCCUUUGAGUUUCAGUCUUGCGACCGUACUCCCCAGGCGGAUAACUUAAUGCGUUAGCUGCGCCACCGAAAGCCUAAGGCCCCCGACAGCUAGUUAUCAUCGUUUACGGCGUGGACUAC
rnacentral:misc_RNA from 1 species